GUGCUCACUUUAGCAGCACACACAGUAAAAUUGAAAUGAUACAGAGAAGAUUAGCAUGGUCCCUCCACAGGGAUGGCACAAAAAUUCAUGAAGCAUUUGUAUUUUUG